rnacentral:rRNA from 1 species
GUUAUGAGGUUAAGCGACUAAGCGUACACGGUGGAUGCCAUGGCAGUCAGAGGCGAUGAAGGACGUGCUAAUCUGCGAUAAGCGUCGGUAAGGUGAUAUGAACCGUUAUAACCGGCGAUUUCCGAAUGGGGGAAACCAGUGUGAUUCGACACACUAUCAUUACGUGAAUACAUAGCGUAAUGAAGCGAACCGGGGGAACUUCAAAACAUCUAAGUACCGAGGAAAAGAAAUCAACCGAGAUUCCCCAAUGGCGGCGGGCGAACGGGGAACAGCAGAGUCUAGAUCAGCUUGUGUGGGUAGGAACGGUCUGGAAAGUCCGACGAGGUACAGGGUGAUAGUCCAUACCAAAAUGCACAGGUUGUGAACUCGAGAAAGAGUAGGGCGGGACGUGGUAUCCUGUCUGAAUAUGGGACCAUCCUCCAAGGCUAUCAGCGACGAUGAUGAACCAGUACCCAGGGGAAAGGCGAAAAAGAACCCCGGCGAGGGUGAAAAGAACCUGAAACCGUGUACGGCCUGGCAGUGGGAGCCUCUUUAUGGGGUGACUGCGUACCUUUGUAUAAUGGGUCAGCGAUAACAUGUUCUGUAGGUUAACCGUAUACCUAGAAGGGGAGCCGAAGGGAAACCGAGUCGCCAGCAGGCGUUAGAUUUGCAGGGUUAUAGACCCGAAACCCGGUGAUCUAACCAUGGGCAGGUUGAAGGUUGGGUAACACUAACUGGAGGACCGAACCUGAUAAUGUUGAAAAAUUAGCGGAUGACUUGUGGCUGGGGUGAAGGCCAAUCAAACCGGGAGAUAGCUGGUUCUCCCCGAAAGCUAUUUAGGUAGCGCCUCGGCGAUUCAUCUUCAGGUAGGGUUUACUGUUUCGUAGGGGUCAUCCCGACUUACCAGCUUUGAUGCAAACUGCGAAUACCGAAGAAUGUUAUCACGGGAGACACGGCAGUGCUAACGCGUCCGCGUCGUGAAGAGGAAAACAACCCAGACCGCCAGCUAGGUCCCAAAGUCUGGUUAAGUGGGAAACGAUGUGGAAGGCACAGACAGCGGGAUGUUGGCUUAGAAGCAGCCAUCAUUUGAAAGCGUAAUAGCUCACUGGUCCAGUCGGCCUGCGCGGAAGAUGUAACGGGGCUAAACCAUGCACCAAGCUGCGGCAGCGACACUAUGUGUUGUUGGUGGGAGCGUUCUGCAAGCCGUUGAAGGUAUUAACAUGAGGGCAUGCUGGAGGUAUCAGAAGUGCGAAUGCUGACAUAAAUAACGAUAAUGAAAAACCGCACGCCCCGGAAGACAAGAGGGUUCCUGUCAACGUUAAUCGGGGCAGGGUGAGGUCGACCCUAAGGCGGAGGCCGAAAGGCGUAGUCGAUGGGAAACAGGUUAGUAUUCCUGUACUUGGUGUUGCUGCGAAGGGGGACGGAGAAGGCUAUGUUAGCCGGAGCGGUUGUCCAGUUUAACGCCUGUAGGCGGAGGUUCGAGGUAAAUCGAACGCUUUUAACGCUAUGAGGUGUGAUGACGAGGCACUACGGUGCUGAAGUAACAAAUGCCUAACUUCGGGAAAAGCCUCUAAGCAUCAGGUAACACGAAAUCGUACCCCAAACCGACACAGGUGGUCAGGUAGAGAAUAUAAGGCACAGAGAACUCGGGUGAAGGAAUUGUAAAAUGGUGCCGUAACUUCGGGAGGAAGGCACGCUGAUGUAGGUGAAGCAGCGGUUUACCCGUGGAGCUGAAAUCAGUCGAAGAUACCAGCUGGCUGCAACUGUUUAUUAAAAGCAGCACUGUUACCACCAAACCACAGUGGACAUAUACGGUGUGACGCCUGCGAUUGCCGGAAGGGUUAAUUGAUGGGGUUAUCCGUAAAGGAGCUCUUGAUCAACCCGGUAAACGGCGGUAACAACUAUAACGGUCCCUAAGGUAGCGAAAUUCCUUGUCGGGUAAGUUCCGACCUGCGAAUGGCGGCGUAAUGAUGGCGGGCUGUCUCCACCAGAACUCGGUAAUUGAACUCGCUGUGAAGAUGCCGGACACCCGCGGCAAGACGGAAGGCCCCGUGAACCUUUACUGGCUUGACACUGAACACUGGUCCUUGAUGUGUAAUAGGAUAGGUGGGAGGCUUUGGAAGUGUGGGCACUUGGUCUGCAUGGAGCCAUCCUUGAAAUACCACCAAUGGCUGAAUUGUUCUAACGUGGACCCGUUACCCAGGUUGCGGACAGUGUCUGGUGGGUAGUUUGACUGGGGCGGUCUCCUCUAAAAAGAGUAACGGAGAACACGAAGGUUAAUAAUCUGGUCGGACAUCGGGAGGUUAGUGCAAGGCAUAAGCUAACUUGACUGCUGCGAGUGACGGCUCGAGAGCAGGUGCGAAAGCAGAUGUAGUGAUCAGUGGUUCUGAAUGGAAGGGCCAUCGCUCAACGGAUAAAAGGUACUCCGGGAUAACAGGCUGAUACCGCCAGAGUUCAUAUCGACGGCGGUGUUGGCACCUCGAUGUCGGCUCAUCACAUCCACGGGGCUGAAGUAGGUCCCAAAGGGUAUGGCUGUUCGCCAUUUAAGUGGUACCUGAGCUGGGUUUAGAACGUCGUGGGGAACAGUUCGGUCCCCUAUCUGGGCGCUGGAGGUGAGGGGGCUGCUCCUAGUACGAGAGGACCAGGUGGACGCAUCACUGGUGUUCAGGUUGUCAUGCCAAUGGCAUUGCCCGGUAGCUAAAUGCGGAAGAGAUAAGUGCUGAAAGCAUCUAAGCACGAAACUUGCCCCGAGAUGAGUUCUCCCUGAGACUAUAAGUCUCCUGAAGAACGGUGGAGCUAUGACGUUGAUAGGUCGGGUGUGUAAGUGGCAGCGAUACAUUGAGCUAGCAAAUACUAUAUAUAGACAAUGAGGCUUAACCUUACAACGCCGAAG